UGAAGAAAAAGAGCCCUAUC
rnacentral:piRNA from 1 species